GAUGAACGCUGGCGGCGUGCCUAAUACAUGCAAGUCGAGCGAACAGACGAGGAGCUUGCUCCUUUGACGUUAGCGGCGGACGGGUGAGUAACACGUGGGUAACCUACCUAUAAGACUGGGAUAACUUCGGGAAACCGGAGCUAAUACCGGAUAAUAUUUCGAACCGCAUGGUUCGAUAGUGAAAGAUGGCUCUGCUAUCACUUAUAGAUGGACCUGCGCCGUAUUAGCUAGUUGGUAAGGUAACGGCUUACCAAGGCAACGAUACGUAGCCGACCUGAGAGGGUGAUCGGCCACACUGGAAGUGAGACACGGUCCAGACUCCUACGGGAGGCAGCAGUAGGGAAUCUUCCGCAAUGGGCGAAAGCCUGACGGAGCAACGCCGCGUGAGUGAUGAAGGUCUUCGGAGCGUAAAACUCUGUUAUUAGGGAAGAACAAACGUGUAAGUAACUGUGCACGUCUUGACGGUACCUAAUCAGAAAGCCACGGCUAACUACGUG
rnacentral:rRNA from 1 species